rfam:Gymnopus luxurians FD-317 M1 unplaced genomic scaffold GYMLTscaffold_137, whole genome shotgun sequence.
GGCCGACUAGCUCAGUUGGUUAGAGCGUCGUGCUAAUAUAGUCGCUAGCGAUCAAUUGUAACGCGAAGGUCUUGGGUUCGAUCCCCACGUUGGCCA